GGAUGAACAGGAUGAGUGU
rnacentral:siRNA from 1 species